CCUACGGGAGGCAGCAGUGAGGAAUAUUGGUCAAUGGGCGGGAGCCUGAACCAGCCAAGUCGCGUGAGGGAAGACGGUCCUAUGGAUUGUAAACCUCUUUAGGCGGGGAGCAAUGCCGGGCACGCGUGCCCGGAGGGAGAGUACCCGCAGAAUAAGCAUCGGCUAACUUCGUGCCAGCAGCCGCGGUAAUACGGAGGAUGCGAGCGUUAUCCGGAUUUAGUGGGUUUAAAGGGUGCGUAGGCGGAUUUUUAAGUCAGCGGUAAAAUGUCCGGGCUCAACCCGGGCCGGCCGUUGAAACUGGGGAUCUUGAGUGGGCGAGAAGUAUGCGGAAUGCGUGGUGUAGCGGUGAAAUGCAUAGAUAUCACGCAGAACUCCGAUUGCGAAGGCAGCAUACCGGCGCCCGACUGACGCUGAGGCACGAAAGCGUGGGGAUCGAACAGGAUUAGAUACCCCAGUAGUC
rnacentral:rRNA from 1 species